rnacentral:rRNA from 1 species
UACGUAGGGUGCAGGCGUUAAUCGGAAUUACUGGGCGUAAAGCGUGCGCAGGCGGUCUCUUAAGACAGGUGUGAAAUCCCCGGGCUUAACCUGGGAAUGGCCAUGGAAACUGGCGAACUGGAGUGCGGCAGAGGGGGGUGGAAUUCCGCGUGUAGCAGUGAAAUGCGUAGAGAUGCGGAGGAACACCGAUGGCGAAGGCAGCCCCCUGGGCCAGCACUGACGCUCAUGCACGAAAGCGUGGGGAGCAAACAGG